rnacentral:rRNA from 1 species
CGGGACGGGUGAGUAACACGUGAGCAACCUGCCUUUCAGUGGGGGACAACAGUUGGAAACGACUGCUAAUACCGCAUAACGUGCCGGAAGGGCAUCCUUUUGGUACCAAAGAUUUAUCGCUGAAAGAUGGGCUCGCGUCUGAUUAGAUAGUUGGUGAGGUAACGGCCCACCAAGUCGACGAUCAGUAGCCGGGCUGAGAGGUUGAUCGGCCACAUUGGGACUGAGACACGGCCCAGACUCCUACGGAAGGCAGCAG